CCUACGGGAGGCAGCAGUGGGGAAUAUUGCACAAUGGGGGAAACCCUGAUGCAGCGACGCCGCGUGAGUGAAGAAGUAUUUCGGUACGUAAAGCUCUAUCAGCAGGGAAGAAAAUGACGGUACCUGACUAAGAAGCCCCGGCUAACUACGUGCCAGCAGCCGCGGUAAUACGUAGGGGGCAAGCGUUAUCCGGAUUUACUGGGUGUAAAGGGAGCGUAGACGGCAGCGCAAGUCUGGAGUGAAAUCCCAUGGCUUAACUGUGGAACUGCUUUGGAAACUGUGCAGCUAGAGUGCAGGAGAGGUAAGCGGAAUUCCUAGUGUAGCGGGGAAAUGCGUAGAUAUUAGGAGGAACACCAGUGGCGAAGGCGGCUUACUGGACUGUAACUGACGUUGAGGCUCGAAAGCGUGGGGAGCAAACAGGAUUAGAUACCCGUGUAGUC
rnacentral:rRNA from 1 species